AUACGGAGGGUGCAAACGUUGCUCGGAAUUAUUGGGCGUAAAGCGCGUGUAGGCGGUCGGCUAAGUCGGAUGUGAAAGCCCCGGGCUCAACCCGGGAAGUGCGUCCGAUACUGGCAGACUUGAGUACGGGAGAGGGUAGCGGAAUUCCCGGUGUAGAGGUGAAAUUCGUAGAUAUCGGGAGGAACACCAGUGGCGAAGGCGGCUACCUGGACCGAUACUGACGCUGAGACGCGAAAGCGUGGGGAGCAAACAGGAUUAGAAACCCCAGUAGUCC
rnacentral:rRNA from 1 species